ensembl:lncRNA novel transcript
UUGCAAGAAGAGUGAGUGUGGGGCCUUCCCUGGGAAUCAGGGUGCUGGGCAGAGUCAGAGGAGGGAACCGAGAGCUCAGCAGGCAGGAGCAGGACAGUGACAAGCUUCCCACAUCCCCUUUCUGGAACUCCAGGCUUGUCUUGGCUCCAAAUGGAUCCCAACUGCUCCUGCACCACAGGUGGCUCCUGUGCCUGCGCCGGCUCCUGCAAGUGCAAAGAGUGCAAAUGUACCUCCUGCAAGAAGU